CCGCCCCCACAUAUCCCCAUGUGUGUAGAACAUUAUGGUGCCCUGCAUUUGCAUAUUAAAAGGCUAGGGUGGGAGGGCCAGUUUUUUCUGCAGGCUACGUGAGUGACAUGCCUGGUGGAACCAAUCCCCUGAGCCCUAUGCAAAUCAGACAUCACCUCCUCCAGCCUAUUCGUAUAAGCAGCCACUUUUCCAUGGCACAGGGGGUCUCCUCUCUUGGCUUUGGAGCUCCCCAUUCCUCUGUGUCUGUACAGGGGAGCUUCUUCCUUCUUUCUUCUCCCUUCUUUCUUGCCUAUUAAACUCUCUGCUUCUUAAAACCACUCCAUGUAUGUCCAGGUCAUUUUAUCUAAUUUGGAGACGGAGAACCCUGGUGUUCCUCUGCUCAUCAGAGCCGUCUCACCUGCAAGGGCCAGGAUCCAGCACUAGGGCUGCCCUUUAUGUUCAUGCAGCCUCCACUAGGGAGACCCUCCUCAGCUGCCACCUGCUGUAAAGGGAUCUAUCUAUCUAUCUAUCUAUCUAUCUAUCUAUCUAUCUUUCUAUCUACCUGUUGAGAAAGAGAGAGGUUUAUUAUAAAGAAUUGACUCAUGUGAUUAUGGAGGCUGAGAAGUUCCACAGUCUGCUGUCUGCAAGCUGGAGACCGAGGAAGGCUGCUGGUGCCGUUCCAGUUUGAUUCUGAAGGCCUGAGAACCAGAACUGAUGCCCACUCAACAUGAAGAUGACAAGGAUGAAGACCUUUAUGGUGAUCCACUCCCGCUUACUGAAUAGGUCUCACUCUGUCACCCAGACGGGUGUGCAGUGGCAUGAUCAUGGCUCACUGCAGCCUUGAUUCCAAGGGUGAAGUGAUCUUUCCACCUCAGCAUCCCAAGUAGCUGGGACUACAGGAUGAAGCUUCUUGGUGAUGUAACAGUCUGUGGAAACUCCCACAGGACAAAUGCAGAAAGGAAGGACGUAGAUCACUGGAUGGUCAACGUUGCCCCUUGCACAGCAGCAAAGGCCUAUACAAAUUUUUUGAGUAGCUGUAUCUAGUUGUUCAGCUACUGGGAAUAACUCGUAAAAUCCCCUGGAUAGUCAACAGCAUUGGGGCUUGCUUUGUAAACAGAGACCUGACCUACUUAAUUCUUCCCAGAGGUUGGAAAAAGAGGCUUGACUCACACAGACAUGAAACCUUGGCUUAAUUGAACACUAAUUACUCAUAAGAGAUCUGUUUACCCAAACUUCCCCUAGACCAAGCUCAGUAUAAAAUGAGAGGAUGCAUAAAGAAGCAAGAUAUUUAGAGGAAAAUGUCACAAAUACAUUUAUCAGUCCCAAAAGUCCUUUUUUUCCCCCAGAAGUGAUGUUGCUAAUUGCACAAAAAUAAACAAUACAGGGGUUGAUAAAUUCCACAUUUAAGGACUGAGAAUAGUGUCCCUACAUUUCUAAGAAGCUGUAUAUUUGGAAAUGAAUACAAUUGAAAGUAAGGAUAAUUGGCAUUCUAAAGCCAAUUGGAUAACUUGAAUGAACAAGCAGAAUUUACCAUAUUUUGAUAUGUUUCUUUUUGAUUAAAGUAUCUGUAAAGGAAACAAAUUAUUGUAUUGCUAUAGAUUUUAUUACUGAACAAGAAAAAAAGGCCUGAUGUUGUGCAUUUCCUUUUGGCCUUUGGUCUUGGCUGAUAUUGGGCAUCCAAUGAGCUUCUUUGUCUUGAAUGAAGACUUAAGAGGGAGUGAAAAGUAGGAAGAGCAUCAAAACUUCUUUGCAGGAUGUAAUCGAACCACCUACUACUUAUUGUCUUACGAUCCAUUUAUUCAACAAAUGGAACAUCUCAAUUGCUUGAUGCUAUUACAGACACUAGGUAUAGUCUUAGAAAAACAAAUUGCUGUUUUUAUAUAGCUUGUGUUAUGGUUGAUGUAGUACAGUCAAAAUUAUUUAAAUAAAGGAAGAUGUGAGGAAGACUUUGAACUUAGAAAUCUGGGUUCUCAUCCAAGCUUUGCUGCUAGCUUGUUGGGGGAACCUUGGGUGAUGAGUUGGUUGACUCCUUCCAGAUCUCAGCGUUCAUCCAUCAAGUGAGGGAACUUGACCAGAUAUUCAAUAAUGGCCCUUCCGGCCCCAUCUCUAUAUGAAAGGGAAACCACAGUAUGGGCCCAUGGGGAAGAUCAUGGACUUUGGAGUAAAACAUUUCUGGCUUGGUCAAUUAUUUAAUCUCUUGAUCCCAAUCAAUUCAUGUAACUACUCUGACCCUCAGUUUCCUUGCUGCAAAAUGAGAUACUAAUAUUUGCUCAAAUAAGAUAACAGGCAAAACAAUCAUGAGGGCUCCUGGCACACCACUGUGCAUGGCU